GAGAAGCAUGAUGAAAAUAGAUUUUGUUAUGAUGGUCUUACUACGCCGAGAUGCUUGCUCAGAGCUCAUGGAUCACGCACGAAGAAAUGAGGAGGAUUCUGUUGCCCAAAUGUGGUCCGAGUGGGGUGUUAUGAUGGGAUGAUGCUCUUACAGUAUUUUGG